UACGUAGGGACCAAGCGUUGUUCGGAUUUACUGGGCGUAAAGGGCGCGUAGGCGGCGAAUCAAGUCAGCUGUGAAAUCUCCGAGCUUAACUCGGAACGGUCAGCUGAUACUGUUUUGCUAGAGUGCAGAAAGGGCAACCGGAAUUCUUGGUGUAGCGGUGAAAUGCGUAGAUAUCCGGAAGAACACCAAAGGCGAAGGCAGUGUCCUGGCUGGUUCCUGACGCUAAGGUGCGAAAGCUAGGGGAGCGAACGGG
rnacentral:rRNA from 1 species